rnacentral:rRNA from 1 species
ACAGGGAUUGCCCCAGUAGCGGCGAGUGUAGCGGCAAAAGCUCAGAUUUGGAAUCGCUUCGGCGAGUUGUGAAUUGCAGGUUGGCGCCUCUGCGGCGGCGGCGGUCCAAGUCCCUUGGAACAGGGCGCCAUUGAGGGUGAGAGCCCCGUGGGACCGUUUGCCUAUGCUCUGAGGCCCUUCUGACGAGUCGAGUUGUUUGGGAAUGCAGCUCUAAGCGGGUGGUAAAUUCCAUCUAAGGCUAAAUACUGGCGAGAGACCGAUAGCGAACAAGUACUGUGAAGGAAAGAUGAAAAGCACUUUGAAAAGAGAGUGAAACAGCACGUGAAAUUGUUGAAAGGGAAGGGUAUUGCGCCCGACAUGGAAGCGUGCGCACCGCUGCCCCUCGUGGGCGGCGCUCUGGGCGUGCUCUGGGCCAGCAUCGGUUUUUGCCGCGGGAGAAGGGCGGCGGGCAUGUAGCUCUUCGGAGUGUUAUAGCCUGCCGCCGGCGCCGCGAGCGGGGAACCGAGGACUGCGACUUUUGUCUCGGAUGCUGGCACAACGGCGCAACACCGCCCGUCUUGAAAAACACGGACCA